CCCCUAGGCUACGUGUGCCUGGUCGCGGCGUCUUUUCCCCGCUGGCGACGAGAGCAAAGGACUGCUAGUAAUUUUUACCGUGGGGUCCGUACAUUCCAUAAAUGCCGAAGCAUCCGCAAAGGAAUUCGACACGCACGGCACGCAUGACCGCUACAUGACACGUUCAUCCGAUGCCAUAAAGAAAUUAUUUCCUCACUGUGCCUGCGGUGAUCCCGUGUAUCGUAAGGGUACAACAUUCCCCGUGAAAAUGAAGAACCUUUGCAACGAAUGGCGCCUCAUAAUUGCUGUGUUCGUUAUCCGUGGAGGAGUGCUGGUUUUCGCCGAAGAUUGCAACGUGACGCAAGUUCUUGAGUGCUAUGGCGACAUCUCCGACAACGUUUCUGAUGUGCCUGACCAACGCACACUGAACAAGAGCCGCCUCGAAAACCUCUGCAAGGAAAGUGACGCUGCGGAACGCUGCGAAGAGGACCUAGCUAGUUGCAUCGACUCUGAUCCAUCUCUAAAAGCCAUACAGACGCAAUAUACUACAAUCCGUCGAGACGCCUGCGGGAACAGUACCUUCAAUAUGU
rnacentral:lncRNA from 1 species